rnacentral:rRNA from 1 species
GACGAACGCUGGCGGCGUGCUUAACACAUGCAAGUCGAACGGAAAGGCCCUGCUUUUGUGGGGUGCUCGAGUGGCGAACGGGUGAGUAACACGUGAGUAACCUGCCCUUGACUUUGGGAUAACUUCAGGAAACUGGGGCUAAUACCGGAUAGGAGCUCCUGCUGCAUGGUGGGGGUUGGAAAGUUUCGGCGGUUGGGGAUGGGCUCGCGGCUUAUCAGCUUGUUGGUGGGGUAGUGGCUUACCAAGGCUUUGACGGGUAGCCGGCCUGAGAGGAUGACCGGCCACAUUGGGACUGAGAUACGGCCCAGACUCCUACGGGAGGCAGCAGUGGGGAAUAUUGCACAAUGGGCGAAAGCCUGAUGCAGCAACGCCGCGUGCGGGAUGACGGCCUUCGGGUUGUAAACCGCUUUCGCCUGUGACGAAGCGUGAGUGACGGUAAUGGGUAAAGAAGCACCGGCUAACUACGUG